rnacentral:rRNA from 1 species
UACGUAGGGGGCAAGCGUUGUCCGGAUUUAUUGGGCGUAAAGAGCGUGUAGGCGGUUUGGUAGGUCCGCUGUGAAAACUCGAGGCUCAACCUCGAGACGCCGGUGGAAACCAUCAGACUAGAGUCCGGAAGAGGAGAGUGGAAUUCCUGGUGUAGCGGUGAAAUGCGCAGAUAUCAGGAAGAACACCGGUGGCGAAGGCGGCCUGCUGGGCAGUUGCUGACACUGAGGCGCGACAGCGUGGGGAGCAAACAGG